rnacentral:tRNA from 1 species
UUCUCGUUAGUAUAGUGGUGAGUAUCCCCGCCUGUCACGUGGGAGACUGGGGUUCAAUUCCCUGACAUGGAG